GUCGACGCUUCUUUUUCACCGGAGCUUGCUCCACCGGAAAAAGAGGAGUGGCGAACGGGUGAGUAACACGUGGGUAACCUGCCCAUCAGAAGGGGAUAACACUUGGAAACAGGUGCUAAUACCGUAUAACAAUCAAAACCGCAUGGUUUUGAUUUGAAAGGCGCUUUCGGGUGUCGCUGAUGGAUGGACCCGCGGUGCAUUAGCUAGUUGGUGAGGUAACGGCUCACCAAGGCCACGAUGCAUAGCCGACCUGAGAGGGUGAUCGGCCACAUUGGGACUGAGACACGGCCCAAACUCCUACGGGAGGCAGCAGUAGGGAAUCUUCGGCAAUGGACGAAAGUCUGACCGAGCAACGCCGCGUGAGUGAAGAAGGUUUUCGGAUCGUAAAACUCUGUUGUUAGAGAAGAACAAGGAUGAGAGUAACUGUUCAUCCCUUGACGGUAUCUAACCAGAAAGCCACGGCUAACUACGUGCCAGCAGCCGCGGUAAUACGUAGGUGGCAAGCGUUGUCCGGAUUUAUUGGGCGUAAAGCGAGCGCAGGCGGUUUCUUAAGUCUGAUGUGAAAGCCCCCGGCUCAACCGGGGAGGGUCAUUGGAAACUGGGAGACUUGAGUGCAGAAGAGGAGAGUGGAAUUCCAUGUGUAGCGGUGAAAUGCGUAGAUAUAUGGAGGAACACCAGUGGCGAAGGCGGCUCUCUGGUCUGUAACUGACGCUGAGGCUCGAAAGCGUGGGGAGCAAACAGGAUUAGAUACCCUGGUAGUCCACGCCGUAAACGAUGAGUGCUAAGUGUUGGAGGGUUUC
rnacentral:rRNA from 1 species